AUCUUUUUGGGCCAAGGAUAAGGAAAAGAAUUCGACCACACGGUUGUCGGAAUGAUCAUCGUCAGUCAACUUCAUGUUGUGCAAAGACCCACCUGCGUGGGACGAAAGUGUAUCAGUGGUACAACAUCAUUUCCAGCUCCCUCCUCUGCCUCUAUCGUCGACCGCUCAACACCCCUCCCGCUGUUUUAUUAGUCGACACGUCUGCCGAGUGUCUGAGCCAUCUAAGCGAUACAUCGACCUCUGUCGAAUCUAUAGUUUGCUUCGUGUGCUCGGCCAUGCUAAUCGAUAAACGUGGAAGGAUACCGGGUCGAGGGAGGAGCAAGGAGAGGAGGCGCUCGGUCGUGUUGUUGUAACUCGAUGUGACGCACACACGAUCUCUCUCAAUUUGAGAGACGUAGACAGAGGAAGAUGCACAAACGAAAAAAAAGCCUAUGUAUACCUAGAGAUUUGGAAGUUUACAAGUAGUAUAAUAUAUGCUUGUCCCCCGCGAGUUCCAAGAAUCCAAAGGUCUAUCUGUACGUAAAAAUCCUUGGGAGCAUUCUAUACUCUUUACCGAUCCAUCUCAAUUCAUCCUCCUCCGAAGAGAAGGUAAGAAAGUAUAGUAGAAGGAAAAUUAUGUGACGAUCAAAUCGAUCCAUUUCAAGCGAGGCCAUUACUUAUGCUGCACCUUGUAUAAUGCAAGCCGCUAAAAGAGAGAUAGACGGGACCGCGGCGAGAGGGCGAGAGGGUUACGAGAGAAGGACGAGGUGGAGGAGGAAGAGGACGAGAAAGAGGAGGAGGGUUGCGGAAGGGGACCAAGUACUCCAUGGAGCCCCAUUGAGAGAACGCAGCGGCAGCAUAAAACCCGGUUUCCCUUCGUAGGGCUGCCGCCCUUCAAGGCUCACGGCCGACCGGCUCUUUGUCGUCCCUUUGACGUCCCUGCAGGAUGUACGAAGCACUAAAGCGAAACGCCAGGGGCGUAUUGGAUGAAGAAAUAUACAGCGUGUCCCUCCGAUUUUUCAAACAGCAUCAAAUUACGUUAGGAUUUUUGAAACUAGCAUAAUAUAUAGAAAAAAAUGGAUAUAAUUAAA